rnacentral:rRNA from 1 species
CCUACGGGUGGCAGCAGUGAGGAAUAUUGGUCAAUGGCCGGAAGGCUGAACCAGCCAAGCCGCGUGAAGGACGAAGGUGCCAAGCAUUGUAAACUUCUUUUGUCAAGGGACAAAAUCAGGCUCGAGAGCCUGACCGAGGGUACUUGAAGAAAAAGCAUCGGCUAACUCCGUGCCAGCAGCCGCGGUAAUACGGAGGAUCCGAGCGUUAUCCGGAUUUAUUGGGUUUAAAGGGUGCGUAGGCGGCCUUUUAAGUCAGCGGUGAAAGUCUGUGGCUCAACCAUAGAAUUGCCGUUGAAACUGGGAGGCUUGAGUAUGUUUGAGGCAGGCGGAAUGCGUGGUGUAGCGGUGAAAUGCUUAGAUAUCACGAAGAACUCCGAUUGCGAAGGCAGCUUACUAAACUGCCACUGACAUUGAUGCUCGAAAGUGUGGGUAUCAAACAGGAUUAGAUACCCCUGUAGUC